AUGCCUCUUGGUCCUAGGCUUUGGGAUAGUUAAAAGGCUGUCUCUCCAUGCCUCUUGGUCCUGGGCUUUGGGAUAGUUAAAAGGCUGUCUCUCCAUGCCUCUUGGUCCUAGGCUUUGGGAUAGUUAAAAGGCUGCUCUCUCCAUGCCUCUUGGUCCUGGGCUUUGGGAUCGUUAAAAGGCUGUCUCUCCAUGCCUCUUGGUCCUAGGCUGGGAUAGUUAAAAGGCUGCUCUCUCCAUGCCUCUUGGUCCUGGGCUUUGGGAUAGUUAAAAGGCUGUCUCUCCAUGCCUCUUGGUCCUGGGCUUUGGGAUAGUUAAAAGGCUGUCUCUCCAUGCCUCUUGGUCCUGGGCUUUGGGAUAGUUAAAAGGCUGUCUCUCCAUGCCUCUUGGUCCUGGGCUUUGGGAUAGUUAAAAGGCUGCUCUCUCCAUGCCUCUUGGUCCUGGGCUUUGGGAUAGUCAUAAGGCUGUCUCUCCAUGCCUCUUGGUCCUAGGCUUUGGGAUAGUUAAAAGGCUGCUCUCUCCAUGCCUCCUGGUCCUGGGCUUUGGGAUAGUUA
rnacentral:lncRNA from 1 species